rnacentral:rRNA from 1 species
UGGGGAAUAUUGCACAAUGGGGGAAACCCUGAUGCAGCGACGCCGCGUGAGCGAAGAAGGUUUUCGAAUCGUAAAGCUCUGUCCUAUGAGAAGAUAAUGACGGUAUCAUAGGAGGAAGCCCCGGCUAAAUACGUGCCAGCAGCCGCGGUAAUACGUAUGGGGCGAGCGUUGUCCGGAAUUAUUGGGCGUAAAGGGUACGUAGGCGGUCUAUUAAGUCAGGUGUGAAAGCGUGGGGCUUAACCUCAUUAAGCACUUGAAACUGAUAGACUUGAGUGAAGGAGAGGAAAGUGGAAUUCCUAGUGUAGCGGUGAAAUGCGUAGAUAUUAGGAGGAAUACCGGUGGCGAAGGCGACUUUCUGGACUUUUACUGACGCUCAGGUACGAAAGCGUGGGGAGCAAACAGG